rnacentral:lncRNA from 1 species
ACUGACACUUUUCGGACUCAGCCUGCCUGCACCCAGGUGAUUAAAAGCUUUAUUGCUCACACAAAGCCUGUUUGGUGGUCUCUUCACAUGGAUGCGCAUGAAAUUUGGUGCGGUGACUCGGAUCGGGGGACCUCCCUUGGGAGAUCAAUCCCCUGUCCUCCUGUUCUUUGCUCCGUGAGAAAGAGCCACCUACGACCUCAGGUCCUCAGACCAACCAGGCCAAGAAACAUCUCACCAAUUUCAAAUCCGACUGUUCAACUCACCUGGCAGCCACUCCCAGAGCCCCUGGAACUCUGGCCCAAGGCUCUCUGACUGACUCCUUCCCAGAUCUUCUCGGCUUAGCGGCUGAAGACUGACACUGCUCAAUCACCUUGGAAGCCCCCUAGACCAUCACGGACGCCGAGCUUCAGGGGAGAGGGAAAAUCAUUUGGGGACAGCCAACUUCUUCCUUGAGCGGUGCAGUUAUAAUCAUGCAUUGUGCCCUCUGUGAGUGCUUCUUUCUCCUUUGAAAUUCUUCAGUGGGUUCUUCAGCAUCGCCCACUCUGUUGCUGGAGACCACCCAUUGUGCCCUUGGAUGGCGUGCCCAAUAUCCUUGGCCAGCUGGCUGCAUUCCCCACUCAGCUACUGAUUGUUGAUUGUUGUGCUUCACGAACUUCCCGCUGAGCGUCCUCUCAUCCUGGGGUGGAGAGCAGGCCCAUCACGGGGCUCCCACCUGCCUGCCUGCCAUACUGUCCAUGCCAGUGCCUGAGAAACACCGCCUCUGCUCCACUUUCAGUGGGAACCAGCGUUUUGCACCCCCCUCCAUAGCCUUUUCUCUUCACUCUACCACCUGAAGCAAUUCCCACUGGGCCGCUUCUUCACCUUUAAGUUUUCCAGGAGAAGACAAGGAGAUGGAGAGACUGUCAACCUAGAACCAGUAAUGACCAGUUCCAACUUAAUUACAGAAAGGGAGAAAAGAUCAAUCAUUUAAGUUGCUUCAUCGUCUAAAUAAAAGUGUUUUGGCUGUUGAAACAUGAA